GAGCAGACUUGUACUAAUACUGAUGGAUCGUUUAAAUGUAGCUGCUCCAAUUGAUAUGAAUUAAAUCGCGAUGGUCACUCAUGUGAUGAUAUUGAUGAAUGCAGUCACGAUCAAUCUCUCUGUCAUGGUGGAAACGAAACGUGUGUAAACACCCCUGGGAACUAUAGUUGUGAAUGUGUCCAAGGAUAUUAUCGAUCUGGUGGAAUCUGUGAAAAAACAAGUUUGAGGUCGACAUCGUCAAACAUAUAUUGUUCCUGCCUACAAGUUUUAUCCUUAUUGACUUUAAUAUUAAUACAAAUGAUAAUGACUUAAUCGUUUUCUGAGGUUAUUCAUUAUGUAAUUUCACAUACUGAAUGGAACUUUAAUAAAAAGCAUGUACUUCUUAUUUACUUUUUAAUAAUGUUUGCUUUAAAACAAUGUUAUAUGACUUUUGAGGAAUAAAUACAUUUGGUUAUCCUAUUGUCAUUUAAAGAGUAUUCUAAUUAUCACUAAUUACUCAAAUUGAUGUCUCUUUACAUAAAAUAAUAAUGUCAGUUGACACGAAAUAUAAGAAGUAAAAAUACACAAAAUGAAAUAACACAUUUUGGCAAAUUAUUUUUACGAAUUAAAAAAUAUUUUGUCAACAAAAAAGGUGAUAGCAUUAUAUACAAUGGCUCAUACUAACUCAGUUU